UGCUUCUACCCUCUUUGUAAAACCCACUUCAGUCAACAAAAAUGUGAAUACUUUUAAAGUUGAAAGGUUAUAGGAGAAGUAUCUCUAUGGUUACUUUUGAAGCUUCAAGUCUCCAAUAUUUAUUUUUAUAAUUUGAAUGUUAUUGUAACAGACACAACAUUAACAUUUGCAGAAUCUGAUGGAGACACCAACAGUGGAAUAUUGCAAGUGCAUGCCAACAGAAUGUCCCCACCAGAGGAACGUGUCAGGUGAACAGUGACAUACACCAGAAUGCUGCUGGCAUUUAGGGAUUAGUGUAAAUGGAAAAACAGUGAGGCAAGCAGAAAAAAAAAAAAAAAAAACAAGUUAGGUAAAUGUGUCCUAGAGAAAUACUAGUCUGGAAAAUUUACAUUACCCUUUUCAUUUUUCUAAGCUAAAAUACAUAGCGUAGUUUUACUGGAAAAAUUUGUGUGCAUAUUUUUAACAGGAGGCACUGGUUUGCCAUGUAAAUGACCCAUCAGGGAACAUAGAUGAAAGGACUAGCUACAGAGCAAGAAUGACCUCAGUGGAAGCUGACACAACACAGAGAAGGAGCCUACGCAAACCUUCAUCCAAAGUCACUCUGUCCGUUAACUCCAGGGAACAAGCAACAAAGUAUACCAAGGUAACUCUUGCUUCUAUAUAUUCUCUAUAUAAUUACCAUUCCUUUAUUAAUAAAAAUUAUGAUUAAUUUAGGCUCUCUCAUAAAUAUGCAACAUUACAAGUGGUGAAGAAAAACAAGAGAAAAACCACCUGAAAGCUAUUACCACCAUAAUUUGUAUUUAUUUCCUAAUAUGGCAAGCAGAUUAUAUAUUUCUCAUUUUGCUUUUUUUUCUCUUAAUGUAACCCAGAAAUGCCACCCAUGCUUCUAUGUAGCCUUUAUAAUUGCCAUGUUUAAUAGUAGCACCAAUUUUUUUCUCACUUCAGCAAUGAGAUUCCUUUUUCUGACUCUGAAUUACCCAUGUUAAUAAGGAAUUAUGAGUUCUUUCUCCUUAAUUUGAUGCAUUAAGCAGAGAAAAAUUAUUGUUUUACUCAGUAUAUGGUUUUGGCAAAGACUUAGAAGCAAAGACAAAAAAAAAAAGACAAAGGCAGCAUUGAGGGAUGUGCUUUCAGUGGUGGGUCCACUACUGUAGAUUCCUUUCCUCAUGUCUCAAGAUGGCAACACUCCACUGGCCCAUCUGUAUUCUGAGAGAUGAUUACAAACACCUCCAGCCUCCAAAAGAGUAGCAAGAAAUGACCUUGGUUUAGCCCUAGAGUUCUUAACAAAGACUUUACACCUGGGAAGGAAAAUGAAGGAGGCACAGUGCACACUUGCUCAUCUUUCAAAAUGUCCUGAGUCUUGAAUCAAGAUGCUUGAAGUAAAUCAAUCACUUGGUUAAUACUUCAGUAGAGGUCAUUUCUUAUUGCUGAGCUUGGAAUGGUGUGUGGGAUAUCAGGAGACUCAACAAGAUGGCACAACAGUAUCCUCUGACAGUCUAGCUCAAGGCAUCCAUCCUCAUCCACAUAGAGUUUCAGCAUGACCACUUCUUGGGCAGUGACAGCUCUGAUACGGUUCUCUUCCCAUCAUC
rnacentral:lncRNA from 12 species